rnacentral:misc_RNA from 1 species
UCUCCGUUGGUGAACCUUCGGAGGGAUUAUUACUGAGUGAGGGCUUCGGUCCGACCUCCAACCCUUUGUGAACCAAACUUGUUGCUUCGGGGGCGACCCUGCCGCUUCGGCGGUGCGGCGCCCCCGGAGGCCAUUAAACACUGCAUCAUUGCGUCGGAGUCUUAAAGAAAUUUAAACAAAACUUUCAACAACGGAUCUCUUGGUUCUGGCAUCGAUGAAGAACGCAGC